UAUUUUAUUGGCCAUAUGCAUCGUAUUGCAUAUGGUAUUGCAUCAUAUUAAUAAAAUGUUGAAAAGCAUAAUUUUAUGUGUUGAAGCUCAGUCUUUAUUUUUUAUUGACUUUUCAGUUGUCCAAUAUGUGCCACGCCGCUGCAUAAUAUAAAGAAACCGUAUUUUUAACAAGCAUUUUAUGUUUUAAAGUUAUUGCCUUUUGACUUGUCCAAUCAGCGCUCAAGACGUUGCAUCAGGUGCGCUCGCGCCUUUUGCCCAAAUUGUCCUUGAACUGACGAUUUUUCUGGAACAGACAGCAAGCAAGAAGCAACGCACAGACCACGGCGAGCUGCUGAAAUUACAUUUUUUUCCCAUAUGAAAUCUGUCUGGUAAGCACAAAUAAAAAAAAUCUGUAAAGUUGAAGUUCAAUAAUUGUUUUAGUUAUUUGAAUACAGCUUUUGUGUUGUAAAGCGUUUAUUUUAUUUUCAUAUCUUUAAUGUCAUUGUAAAUCGUAAACGACGUGGACCUUUUGGCUGUCUAGAUGGUAACAUUUUGUCCUUUUAAAAUAUAAACUUACAUAUUGGAAAUUAACGAAUUCGCUCUGAUUUCUUUGAUUUGAAACGUUUGUAACGCAGUUUAGCAGUAUGUCGUGCUGUAACCAUGGCGAGGCGGACUUCAUGUUUAAACGAUAUCUCGCAUUGGUUAUUGGUUGAGUUCAGGAUGAGUAAGUUUUGAAUAUGCAUUACAAUGUACACUUGCUGUUUUUGUAGUUUAACAGUGCAAAGUCUGAGGGAAUAUGUUUUGCACUGCAGACUGCAUCGCAACGAACCUCGCGCCAUUUUCAAAUGUGUCACAGUUGACUGCAAACAGUCGUUUUCCAAAUACGUAGCAUUUAAGAGUCAUUUCUAUCCCCGCCAUAACAGCUCUACCACUGAUUAGGCCUCGACAUGCAGUAUUUCACUAUGUAGUCAUCAGUGCCAGGAUGUGCCCAGUCUUGUUGCUCACUUAAAGAACAAUAUGAAGGAAGGUCGUGCAGUUAACUGUCCAGUGAGAGGGUGCAAAAGUGCUUUUCAAAUCAUGUCCUCUUUUACCUCUCAUAUGUCUAGGAAGCACAGGAACUGUUCAGUAAACAGCAUUAGCGAUUCACAUCGGCAUUCUGCAUCAGAGAUACCGUCUGUUUCAACUGAGCAAUGUCCUGCUGACCUGGAUGCAAAUACAGUCAUGGAUGAAUCAGCAAAGCAAUGUAACCAGUGCAAUUGCUGAGUUACACAAAGAUCUUUCAUCCUCGGUGCUGCAAUCAGUUUUGGAGACACUGAAUUCACUUGGAGUAACAUCACCUGAAGAUUUUCAAUAUGUUCAGGAAUCAGAUCUCCUGCCAGUAUUAUGACCCAUUCAGGCCAGAAAACUUGUAUCUGCCUGGAGCCAGAUCAAACAAAGUGCUGAUAGCUUGUCAAGUUCUAGAGAGAUCAGCAGUGCUUCAUGUUCAUCAUCCCCAUCAUGUGGCAAGGCUUCCAGAGUUGUUUCAGACUGGGCCGACAGUUUUAAAAUUCCAUGGCAGAAGUUUCCAGAAGUAUUGACUCAAUGUUUAGAAAAGACCAAAUCCAAGAUUGCGACGAGAUAUGGUCAGAAUUGUCAUGUCUGAAAUGAAGGUAUGUGACUGUCCCAGUAAACAAAGCUCUACAGCCAUUGCCAAAAAGAUUGUGGCCAAAUACCCUGCAUCCUUGCAGGAUGUUAUCAAAGGUGAUAUAAUUGGUUCAGGGUAUAACUCGCUGGUCAAGCAGAUUCAGAAUUGCAUAGAAAAUGUGAAGAGACCCAACAUGCCGAAAAUCAGAAAAAGCAACAGAACAGAAGAAUCUGACACAGAGGAGAUUCCUGCUGAAAAAAGGGCAGCGGUUCAAGACACUUAUGGCUGUGUGAAUUGGGUUUUAAAAUUUAUGCCGCACUGAGACUAAAGAGAGCCAGUUGGAUAAACAAGAACGGAUGAAGAUCAUGUCUAAAACAACAAAUGUUGACCCAGAAGAAGUUGGCAACCUUCUGAAAGCAACAUACUACUCUCAACGCAAAUAUAUAAACAACGGAGCAAGCAUACAACAGCUUUGUGAGAACUGGCCUUUUCUAUUUCAAGAGGUUGGUAUGUGUGUACACUUCAAGCAGCUAACCGGAAUUGAUCUGAAGGAGAUGUUCCUUAAAAGCUUAGAUAAAAAGGACAGCGGCUCCUGAACUUUCUUAAAACAGUUGGUGCAGAAAAGACAAAAGUACUGCAAGCUGCUGCAAAACUAGAAGUUACGAGGUAUCAAACUGAGGGAUGCAGUGAAGAUUUGAAAGAUGUGGUGCUUCUUCUGCUUGCCUACUUUGAUGAAAAGGAAGAAGUGGUGUUUCAUUAUGUGGCGGAGUCUUGCCUUGUCGAAGAUGUGGAGGUAGACAAGUUACCAGCAACACCCUGCAUCAUUGUCUGUGGCUCUUCCUGCUACACAUCAAAACUAUUCAUGCUGAGCAUCGACCAAAAGAUUACAACUCCGCACAUUUCUACAUUUCAUCUCUGCAUUGUGCAUGAUGUUUGGCAGUUACUACUGUUUUAACAUUCAUUACCCUUUGGAACUGGGUUCUGCUCUGGAGUUCUACUAAGGUGCUGCUUCAGCAUAAACCCAGAGAAGGGCACCAAAGCUGAACCGAGGAAAAACAAAAAACAGCUCCCAGUGAACCCCCGAGUCCUUACACUCAUAGCAGACCUUGCUGAUCAUGAAUGGAGAGCAGAUUAAGGUUGGACAAAACCUUUUUGACAGAUGUUUGAAGAUUACGUUGGCACUGAGAAUGUUUUACAACUUUGUGUUAUCUGGAUUUACACUGAAAGAUGCUUGAACUUUGAAUGUAGAAAACUACUUAAAUGUGAGUCCUGUCCUCUUAGAAAGCUAUACUGUUUUGUACUUAUGGUACUAUACCAGUAAUGAUUUGAGCAGCCAACAAAACAUUGUGUGUACCUAAAAUAAAAUGUCACUUUGUUUUUUGUUUGUUUUUUUUUUUUAAUAGUUAUGCUUUUCAUGUCUUUUCAAUUUAUACAUUUAAGUUUUCCUACAGGAAGUUUUGUUUUGUGCAUCUGAGAUUGUAAAAAUCUGUAUGUUAAUGCUUUCCAAGCAUUUGGUUCAUGAUUAAUCCAUUCUGUUAAUAGAAUGGUGUGCUGUCUUGUUCAGGUUAUUGAAAUGUGUGGCUUUCUGGUAAAGAUUGCAAUUAUUCAAAAUGUUUGUUCUGCAAGUUGAAGCGAACAGGGAGUACAUUCUUUUACUGCUGUUUUAAGGAGAAGAAUAUGGUUGUCCAAAGUAUGUAUUUACUAUGUUUGUGGUAUUUAAAUAAAAGUGUAUUUGCUUUUCA